rnacentral:lncRNA from 7 species
AGUUCUUCAAGCCAUCUGGAAUGAAAAGAAGACAAAGAGCUGAGGCCACAUGAACUCACAGGACACUCCAGGACCUCAAGAUGGACAGAGACUGAGUAGCCAGGAGUCCAGAAGAGCUGCUCUUGAAGUUCACUGACGGAGAUCCAACCUGCCGCUGAUGUUCCCACCCGGCCCCUUCCUUAGGUUUGUGGCACUGUCCAUCCAGUUACUGGUCUGUCUACAAAUGGUCUGCUGCACUGUCUGUCUGUCUCUUUGCCUCUCACUUAUAAAGACUGAGAUGGUGGUUAGGAUCCACUCAGCUAAUCUGUGAUGGUUUUUAAAUUUUAAAAUCAUUAAUUAUCGGAACAUUUUUAUGACAUAUGCAAAGAUGUUUUUCGCCAAGUGAGACUAUCUACAUAUUUGGUGUUCGUUAUUCAACCCAACAUUUCAAUUAUGAUGAGUUGAUCCUUACUUGGUAUUUUGCUCUGACACAAUCUCUACAAAAGUGAACUAAGGGGGAGAGUGUUUAUUUUGGCUCCAGUUUGGGGAUAUGGUCCAUGGUGGUAGGGAAGACAUCGCAGGACAUGCUGCCGGAACUCCUCACUGUCUCAUAUCUUGGAGGAACAGGAAGCAGAGAAUAGACAAGAAGAGGGACCUGGCUACAGAACGACACCUUUUAAAGGCCUGCACCCAGAGACC